CUGAUGCAGCGAUGCCGCGUGAGUGAAGAAGGCCUUUGGGUUGUAAAGCUCUUUCGUCGGGGAAGAAAAUGACUGUACCCGAAUAAGAAGGUCCGGCUAACUUCGUGCCAGCAGCCGCGGUAAUACGAAGGGACCUAGCGUAGUUCGGAAUUACUGGGCUUAAAGAGUUCGUAGGUGGUUGAAAAAGUUGGUGGUGAAAUCCCAGAGCUUAACUCUGGAACUGCCAUCAAAACUUUUCAGCUAGAGUUUGAUAGAGGAAAGCAGAAUUUCUAGUGUAGAGGUGAAAUUCGUAGAUAUUAGAAAGAAUACCAAUUGCGAAGGCAGCUUUCUGGAUCAUUACUGACACUGAGGAACGAAAGCAUGGGUAGCGAAGAGGAUUAGAUACCCUCGUAGUCCAUGCCGUAAACGAUGUGUGUUAGACGUUGGAAAUUUAUUUUCAGUGUCGCAGCGAAAGCGAUAAACACACCGCCUGGGGAGUACGACCGCAAGGUUAAAACUCAAAUGAAUUGACGGGGACCCGCACAAGUAGUGGAGCAUGUGGUUUAAUUCGAAGAUACGCGCAGAACCUUACCAACACUUGACAUGUUCGUCGCGACUCUAAGAGAUUAGAGUUUUCGGUUCGGCCGGACGAAACACAGGUGCUGCAUGGCUGUCGUCAGCUCGUGUCGUGAGAUGUUGGGUUAAGUCCCGCAACGAGCGCAACCCUCACUUUUAGUUGCCAUCAUUAAGUUGGGCACUCUGAAAGAACUGCCAGUGAUAAGCUGGAGGAAGGUGGGGAUGACGUCAAGUCCUCAUGGCCCUUACGUGUUGGGCUACACACGUGCUACAAUGGUAUCUACAACAGGAAGCAAAACAGCGAUGUUAAGCAAAUCCUUAAAAGAUAC
rnacentral:rRNA from 1 species